UUUGCCGAAGCCAGUGGCAACCAUGGUGGCAAUGUCUAUGGUGGCAACACUGGCAGCUAGCCCCAAAGACAGUGGCACUUGUGGCGCAUAAUGACACCUGCUGCAGUAAAUAUACUAAGCUUGGGGUUAGUGUAGUCCACCAGCUAUCUUAAGUUGCAAAAAUUUGGCGGUACAUGAGCGGCGUCAUAAUUUGGAAAUUAUAAUAAUGUGAGGCCAGCGGGCAGGUUCAGGGAUGGCACAAUUGGUGUGAACACCCUCGUGCCCAGUUCAAUUUGUCAACUAUAAACCUAGCUAAUAGUCUUUAUUGUCACUGUUACUGCUGAAUAACAAACCUAUUUAAAAUAAAUAACGCUUAGUGUGGCGGGGGAGUAAAGCCUGGUGGCCCUCCAGGCUUAUGAUACACUAAGGGAAACCCUGAAUAUAUCAUAUCAAAUGUAGGAUUUAACGCCAAAAAGUAAACAUAAAAGUACAUAUAGGUAAUGUUCCAUGCAUCCACCAAAUCAAGAUUGUCUCUGCUGUUCUUUGUUUCUGUUUUAGGCUGGAAGGUAUUCAGUAUCCAUACCACCUCUAUAUAAGUCCAUCGGCUCGACCUGGCACCAAUGGCCCAGACCGGCCUUUUCAAUGCCCAACCUGUGGAGUCAGAUUCACACGCAUUCAAAACCUGAAACAGCAUAUGCUCAUACACUCCGGUAGGUGGGACCAAGUCAAACAAAAGUAUUGCAGUAUUGAUGUUUUGCACGUGAAAUCAGGCUCUUCCCCACUCCGCCUUGAUGGAAGUCAAAACACUUGAGUGAAGCUGACCCCUUAACUUCUGGAAAUCAGACAAACAUGGUGUCAAAUGUUUGUGUUAGGUUUGAGAUGGUUUGUGCUGCAAAAAUUUUCAUUUAUGCCACUAUCAUUUCAAAGAUAUUAGUAAAUGUUUUCAUGAUGUCCCCUGUGCCAGAUCACUUCAAAGUUUCUCCGAUUUAUCCCUGUCAUCACAAAUCAAACAUGAGGAAGAACCCCACUGAAUCUGCAAUGUCAUGUAUUGUAUGUUGACGUUUUUAUCCCACUGAGUGAAACCGUGUAAACAUGCCUGCGUAGAUGUUGCAGUCGCUGGUAUUGGAUCUGGAAAGUCAAUUGUUGGUUCCUUUCCGCCGAUGAAACGUAAAAAGCCUGUACAGUUGUCCUUGGUCGUAUUUUGUGCAGUAAAUCCCUCUCACUGAUAUCUAGUAUCCAGCGUUGAUAUUUCCUUGUGCUUCUCUGGGGUUUUGGAAAUGGAAUAAAAAAAAAAAACUCCCGUCAUAUGCUGCUGAUCACCAUAUUCCGACAUUUGUUGUGGCUCCCUUUUACACUAAUCUCCGCAAAUGGGCAAGAAAUGUCUUUAAUGCUCUGUAAAUUGUCUUUAAGCUUCAGUACCCUGAAAGUUUUGACACUAUAAUUUAGUUAUUUUCUAAAAAAUGAUCUGUGUUUCUAUUGUAUAGUUUAUCAUGAUAUAAUGAUAUAUUUACCAACAUUGAUAUUGGUUUUUAUUUUCGGUCAGAUAAAUACAACUGACAUUUACAACCAAUAUUUAUCUCCAUAUUAUUGCCAUUUAUUCCUGGGAAGAGGGGAGGACAUUGGUCAUGUGUUAUUUGUUUGGUCAUAUGUCGGUGACAGUGAUGCAGCAAAGGAUUGUGGGGACUUGUGACUUUUUGGGUUUUAAGCAGGAGGUGUCAGAAAAGUUACCACAGGGAUAACUGGCUGGUGGCGGCCAAGCGUUCAUAGUGACGUCGUUCAUAGCAACGUCGCUUUUUGAUCCUUCGAUGUCGGCUCUUCCUAUCAUUGUGAAGCAGAAUUCACCAAGCGUUGGAUUGUUCACCCACUAAUAGGGAACGUGAGCUGGGUUUAGACCGUCGUGAGACAGGUUAGUUUGACCCGACUGAUAAUGUGUCGUUGCUAUAGUAAACAACACAGAGGUAUUGGCGCAGUCAGCAGGGUGGUCGGUUUUUAUUUUCCAAGUAUCAAAAGAGUAGUGAAGUGUGUGUGUGUGUGUGUGUGUGUGUGUGUGUGUGUGUGUGUGUAUAAAAUAUUAGUAUUUCUAUCCCUGAUGUUUUUAU
rnacentral:ncRNA from 1 species